GCUGGGCAUGGUGGCACGUGCCUGUAAUCCCAGCUACUUGGGAGGCUGAGGCAGGAGAAUUGCUUGAACCCUGGAGGCAGAAGCUGCAGUGAGCUGAGAUUGCGCCACUGCACUCCAGCCUGGGUGACAGAGCUAGACUCCAUCUCAAAAAACAACAACAACAAACAAGACGGAGUCUCGCUCUGUGGCCCAGGCUGGAGUGCAGUGGCGUGAUCUCGGCUCACUGCAAACUCUGCCUUCCAGGUUCACGCCAUUCUCCUGCCUCAU
ensembl:misc_RNA Metazoa_SRP Metazoan signal recognition particle RNA